rnacentral:rRNA from 1 species
GUAGACGCUAUACUCUAAGAUUAACCCAUGCAUGUUUAUCGAAUAUAAAGAAAAGACGAACAGCUCAGUAACUCUUAUUUGAUUUGAUGUAUUAGGAUUCUAACUAUGUUAAAUUAUAGGUAACAAUAAUACAAUAAGAAUAAGAUCUAUCAGUUAGUUGUUAAGGUAAUGGCUUAACAAGACUAUGACGGAUAACGGUAUUACUUUGUAAUAUUCCGGAGAAGGAGCCUGAGAGAUUGCUACUAAGUCUAAGGAUUGCAGCAGGGGCGAAACUUGACCUAUGAUAUUAUAUUGAGGCAGUUAUGAGUAGUAUUUUAUAAUUAUUGUAGUAUUGUAAGUACAUAUUACAAGAUAAAUCGGAGGGCAAAUCGAGUGCCAGCAGCCGCGGUAAUACUUGUUCCGAUAGUGUGUAUGAUGAUUGAUGCAGUUAAAAAGUCUGUAGUUUAUUUAUAAUAAGCAUUGUAAGGUAUACUGUAUGGUUAGGAGAGAGAUGAAAUGUGAUAACCCUAACUGGAUGAACAGAAGCGAAAGCUGUAUACUUAAAUGUAUUAUUAGAACAAGGACGUAAGCUAGAGGAUCGAAGAUGAUUAGAUACCAUUGUAGUUCUAGCAGUAAACUAUGUUGAAUCAUAGAUAUAUUUUGACAUAUAUUUAUGUAGAGAAAUUAAGAUUAUAUUGACUCUGGGGAUAGUAUGAUCGCAAGAUUGAAAAUUAAAGAAAUUGACGGAAGAAUACCACAAGGAGUGGAUUGUGCGGCUUAAUUUGACUCAACGCGGGGUAAUUUACCAGGUAUAACAUGAUAUAAUAUUUUAUCAUGAUAGUGGUGCAUGGCCGUUUCCAAUGGAUGCUGUGAAGUAAUGAUUAAUUUCAACAAGAUGUGAGACCCUCAUUAGACAGAUGUAGUGAUACAUAUGAAGGAGAGGAUUAAAACAGGUCCGUUAUGCCCUAAGAUAAUCUGGGUUGCACGCGCAAUACAAUAAUAUUUGAUAUUAUGAGGGAUAAUAUAAUGUAAGAUAUAUUUGAACAUGGAAUUGCUAGUAAAUUUUAUUUAAUAAGUAGAAUUGAAUGAGUCCCUGUUCUUUGUACACACCGCCCGUCGCUAUCUAAGAUGGUAUUAUCUAUGAACAAAUUUAUAAAGUGAAUAGAUAGUACUAGAUCUGAUAU